CAUAUACUCCCUCCGUCCCAAAAUUCUUGUCUUAGAUUUGUGUAGAUACGGACUUGAUACAUCCGUAUCUAGACAAAUCUAAGACAAUAAUUUUGGGACGGAGGGAGUAUAAA
rfam:Triticum aestivum genome assembly, contig: Triticum_aestivum_CS42_TGACv1_scaffold_093307_2AL